CGCAGCCGCGGUAAUUCCAGCUCCAAUAGCGCAUAUUAAAGUUGUUGCAGUUAAAAAGCUCGUAGUUGAAUUUCGAGAUCGGCUUACUGGUCGUGCUUUUGUACGUACUGGUAUAAUCGGUUUCUCCUUUCUGACGAACUUUAAUGCCAUUAAUUUGGUGUUUUAGGGAAUCAGGACUGUUACUUUGAAAAAAUUAGAGUGUUUAAAGCAGGCUCACGCUUGAAUACAUUAGCAUGGAAUAACGGAAUAGGACGUUUGAUUCUAUUUUGUUGGUUUCUAGGAUCGACGUAAUGAUUAAUAGGGAUAGUUGGGGGCAUUAGUAUUCAAUUGUCAGAGGUGAAAUUCUUGGAUUUAUUGAAGACUAACUACUGCGAAAGCAUUUGCCAAGGAUGUUUUCAUUAAUCAAGAACGAAGUUAGGGGAUCGAAGACGAUCAGAUACCGUCGUAGUCUUAACCAUAAACUAUGCCGACUAGGGAA
rnacentral:rRNA from 1 species